AACGAACGCUGGCGGCAGGCUUAACACAUGCAAGUCGAGCGCCCCGCAAGGGGAGCGGCAGACGGGUGAGUAACGCGUGGGAAUCUACCCAUCUCUACGGAAUAACGCAUGGAAACGUGUGCUAAUACCGUAUACGUCCUUAGGGAGAAAGAUUUAUCGGGGAUGGAUGAGCCCGCGUUGGAUUAGCUAGUCGGUGGGGUAAAGGCCUACCAAGGCGCCGAGCCAUAGCUGGUCUGAGAGGAUGAUCAGCCACACUGGGACUGAGACACGGCCCAGACUCCUACGGGAGGCAGCAGUGGGGAAUAUUGGACAAUGGGCGCAAGCCUGAUCCAGCCAUGCCGCGUGAGUGAUGAAGGCCCUAGGGUUGUAAAGCUCUUUCACCGGUGAAGAUAAUGACGGUAACCGGAGAAGAAGCCCCGGCUAACUUCGUGCCAGCCGCCGCGGUAACAC
rnacentral:rRNA from 1 species